GUUGUUGAGUUUUGGCCUAUUUGUAUAAGGCUUCGUUUGGGAUUGCGGGAAGAUUGCGUUACGUACUAUGAGAAAGUACGAUGAGAAAAUAUUAUGUUUGUUUCCGUAUGUAAUAUUAUGUUCCGUAUAUAAUGAUUAGUCGGUUAUGAUAUAUUUUUUGUGUUCCCACAAGAAGACGCAGAAAAAUAUACCUAUAUGCUUUUUUCCUAUCUUCAUUUUAUCUAAUAAUAUUAGAUGGAUCUCAAUACCAAACUAAGCCUAAAAAUUUUACAAGUUUUGAGGUAUUGCAAAACUGGACCCUUUUUUUCGAUUUUACAUAUUCGGUCCGUGUACAUUCUUUUCUCUUCUUUUUUUUUCUCGAGUUCUUUUUUUUUUUUCGCCGAAGAAGUGGCGGAGGCGGAGGCGGAAACGACCCACCUUGCCUCUGCCCCUCACGCUCUCGCUCUCACCCACGCAUGCCCCGCCCUCUUCGUCUCCGACCGAGGCCGCGCCGCGACCCAUUUUUUUCUUUUCUUUUCCGACCCACCUGCACCC
rnacentral:lncRNA from 1 species